AGACAGGUGGCCGAGUGGUCGAAGGCGCACGCCUGGAACGCGUGUAUAGGGCAACCUAUCGAGAGUUCGAAUCUCUUCCUGUCUGCCA
rnacentral:tRNA from 1 species